UGUUAAUAUAUUAACCAAUCGACUGGUCCAUGGAAAAUUCUAAAAUGCAUAAUUAAAUAGAAAUAAAAUGAAUAGAAAACUAUAGGGAUCCUCCAAUAACUCAGCUCUACCAUCGAGUGUAAUAAUAUUAUCCCGUGGAUCAAGAAUUACCAAGUAUUGUAGGAUUCCUCGCUUCUACAAUGAGAUAAUAAAAUAUGAGAAACCAUUUUAAAUCCACGAAGCAAUUCAUAAUCACAGGAUAACAGAGACAUUAAAUGAAAAUAAAAAGUAAUUUUACCUAUCGGAGCUCACGAAAAUGACUUCAAAAUCGUGUCCUCUUUCUCGAAUUCGUUGAGAAACCUCGAUUGAAAUUUCUACUAAAGAAGAAAAAUUCUACACGAAUAAACACCCUUGAAACAAUGUCGAAGUUCCUCAUGUAACAUUGGCUCAUUGCUGUCGCGAGCACCACAAGGCAGCAAAGGUCCAUCUUCCAGGGCAGCUUUUGGAUGUGGUGGUUUCCAAGGGAAUUCGGCGCCAGUAGGAUCGGCAAUGAAAUAAAGCGGUUUAAUGAGAAUGAAUUGCAAAAGGUUUAAAAUUGUCCGGAAGAGAACAAUAAUUCCGUAUGGAUGCUUUAACAGAAGUUUCGAAGAUCGUACGAGACAAGGAUGGAGGGAUGGAUGAUGAAUGGAUACAUAUCCGAUGAAAUACGAGAAGAAAAACUCACAAUAAAAAAAAAAGCAGAAUGAAUUGAAGAAGAGGUAGAAAUACGUUGAGAUUUAUCGAUUGUGCGAGGCUUAUCGCGAACGAGCAACGAACAAUGCACAAAUCAUACGAGAACAAGAAGAAGAAAAAAGAAAAAAAGGAGAUAGAAAGAGAUAAAGGAAAUGUUCAACUUGGUCUUCUCAUUGGUAGUCUUAAAAAAAAAAAAACGUUACAACCCCGAAGGUAGUAGUAGGUGGUGUAAAGGAUAAGAAGGAGUGUAGGAAAAAGGGAGCGGUGGUGUCUGCCGACAAUGAGUACUGUCUCUCCUGUCAGGUCGCGUGAUUACAGCCAAGGAUGAGAAGAAAAAGGAAAAGGGCUCUUCUACGAUACUAGCGACGGAUAUAAUGUCAAAGGGUCUACGCAUUCUUCGAGUAGACAACAACAUGGUGCAGUUCUGACAACAGCAAUAAUAGUAACGGCAAAAGUAGUAACAGCAGUAGGUAGUAACAGAAGUAGUUAUACGAAACCAAAAGAGAACUUCGUAGACACGAUUCAAUCUGUAAUAUUAACAACUUUAAAGUUCACGCAAAUCGAUCGAAAGUCUCGUUACAUCUCGGAAGAGACAUUUAAUAUUAAUUAGCAGAGGCUUCUUGCAACUUGACACACGCUACAACUUUCGAAUAAAACUUUACUGAAAUACAGCGGGCGAAUGAGAAAGCUAUUUGCGGAAGAUAUGGGUCGGCUACCCCGAAUGGGAAAGACUGCCGUUGGCUGUUGCUGACUGCUGUUGCUGCUGCUACUGCUGCUGCUGCUGCUGCUACUAUUGCUAUUGCUAUUGCUAUACUGAUAUAUUCCUACUGGCGCUGAGCUGACUCUUUUUCUCAAACGUUGAUGCAAAGCAAACUUCCAGGGUCCAAGAAGAUGAACGUGAGCAACAACGCGUGGGCUUAUUACGCCGUUGAAGAAGCGACCGUCGUCGUGCUAGGUGGCCCUACGACAUUGCAAGCUAGUUUGAUAGGGAGACUGGAUAAGCAGAGAAGGAAACGAGGGAGAAAGCUAAUCGACGAGGACGUUCAUACGAGAUAAAUUAAACUCUAUCUCGCCUUACGUGUUUCCUUCACUUUUACUCUCUUCAAUUUCAUUAUGUUUUAUGUAAACAACAAAAUCUAUGACAAUGAUAAAAAAGAGUGCAUAAAGAGGAACGUUCAUUUCUAUAAUGAGAAAGAAAAAAAGGAGACGACGACGACGACGACGACACGGUCUUUCUCGUCAUUUUUCUUUCUCUUUUUCUUUCUUCAAUCGUCGAAUCGCAUCGCUUCGGUGGAUAUCACCGGACGAAGAGGAGACAAGGAUGACAACGAGGACGACGACCACGACAACGACAACAACGAAGAAGAAAAGAAGAGGAUAUAUCAGUGUCGGCUUUAUUUCUCGGUCUAAUAAUUUGAAAUGGAGGAAAAAAGUAGCGGAGUGGAGAGAAGACUACUUGACAUUAAUUGCGCGCGAACCAUUACCGUUAACUUUCUUCGCGUUUCCGAUCGAAGAAGUCUCAGCAUACAUAUGCAUCGAGGUGAGCCAAUAGCCAACCUCGAGUGCUGCUCUGGCUUUGUCAAACGAUUUUUCCCAAAGGAAAAAUUGUCUCGGACUAUGAAGACAAGAAGAAAAGAAAAGAAAAGAAAAGAAAUAAAGAUAAAGAAAGAAAGGAAAUUAAAAAGGGAAAGGAUAAAUCGCUUUUCUUGUUACUUCAUAGGAAGGGAUAUGUUUUUAUCUAAAAAAAAAAAAAUAAGGAAAAAUAUAAUGUAAGUUCAAAGAUUCUGUCACUUCGUUUGUGAAUUUUGUCAAAGGUACAUAUAAAGAGAAAGGUCGGCCUUUAUAGCAACCCUUCGACGAUUAUUUCGCGUGUGUCGUUCGUUUGGGGAGACUUUAAUAAAAUCGCUCCGAAAAUAGUGUAGUACCCUGUAGGCAGUUUUAACGGCGUGCGUGCGUGCAUGCGUGCGUGCAAGAAAAGUAAAAGAAAUAUAAGAAUAAGGACCUACACUCUCGUGUGUACCUUGGCGUGUUACACACGAAUAUGUUGUGUCGUGCGUUAUCGUUACGUAUUUUUCGUUGAACACACGCACCUGCUUUUAGAGUAGUUUCUAGAAAUAUGAUGGAAAGUCCAAGAAAUCAUUUGGAAACAUAUUUCAAUGUAAGGAAAAAAAAAUAGAAAUGUUUUAAAUAAGGUGCAGGUAUUUGGAUAGUUCCUCUUGCAUUCUUCUCUACUUUUGAUACUAUGUAUACGAUUUUUAGGAAGUGUGCAAGGGAAAAAUAAAAAUAUUUACGAUAAA